rnacentral:lncRNA from 1 species
CGGAGGGGUAGGGGCCCUCAGGAUUGGAAGACAGUGUUGGGUGCUUUGCAUUGACUUCAGCAAGCUAAAAAUCUUAACAUGAGCUUAAUCGUUUCUUCCAGCCCAGCAUAAAGAGAAAGCAUGACCCUAGACGUGGAGUGAAUUGAGUGUGCAGGUUCCUACGAGUUCACUGCGGUUCCAGUGGGGAUUGGGCAGGCUCCAAGCACUAAAUAACCCUAAUGAUAUCAGGACUGGUCCUGUUUGCUCCAUCUUAACAUUGUUGGUUAACAGUGGACUCUGACUUUCAUGAGGAUGACUGGACAUCCACUGGGACUCCAGGAGGCUGCCCUUCGCUGCUUUGACUUUGUUCUGUCAGACUUGAUAAGAUUUUGACUUCCUGUUAAAACCUGCCAUCGGGUGUUCAGCAGGAGAGUGAGAGAGUGUCAAGCACACUGUACCAGCAUCAGAGGCUGAGCCUGCCAGCAGAGCUGACUCUGAUGGACACGUGCUUCCUAGGGUGAGUGGACAGGAUUAAGAGCGGCUUUUGUUGGAACACCCGCGAAAGGUAGUUUCGUUCAGCGCGUAUGUCAUAAGCACACACGUGUA